rnacentral:rRNA from 1 species
AACGAACGCUGGCGGCAUGCCUAACACAUGCAAGUCGAACGAGAUCUUCGGGUCUAGUGGCGCACGGGUGCGUAACGCGUGGGAAUCUGUCCUUUGGUUCGGAAUAACAGUUGGAAACGACUGCUAAUACCGGAUGAUGACGAAAGUCCAAAGAUUUAUCGCCAGAGGAUGAGCCCGCGUAGGAUUAGCUAGUUGGUGUGGUAAAGGCGCACCAAGGCGACGAUCCUUAGCUGGUCUGAGAGGAUGAUCAGCCACACUGGGACUGAGACACGGCCCAGACUCCUACGGGAGGCAGCAGUGGGGAAUAUUGGACAAUGGGCGAAAGCCUGAUCCGGCAAUGCCGCGUGAGUGUUGAAGGCCUUAGGGUUGUAAAGCUCUUUUACCCGGGAUGAUAAUGACAGUACCGGGAGAAUAAGCUCCGGCUAACUCCGUGCCAGCCGCCGCGGUAA